rnacentral:lncRNA from 1 species
GGGAAACCAAGACACAGACUUGGCCCCUGCCUUGCUCAGGUGGACAGAAUUUCUGCUACAUUUGCUGUGCUGGAUGGGUAAGACUUUUUGUUCUUCCUGUCCUGGAGCUCUGUUCUUGCUGAGAGCAGAGGCACAUGAGCAGCUCCAGUGAUGGGUUGUGCCUCUUGGCAGGUCCAGAAGUGUGGUACAGCAUGAGUUUUCCCCUCUGCUGUUCUCCAGGCUGCAUCUCUACAGCAUGUCCAACCCAGUGUUGGGAAGCCUCUUAGAGCCCAGUGUUGCCAGCCCUUCCCUGUGGGUAUCUCUCAGCAUCACCAUCGAUGUGCUGCUCUCCUUAACGAAGGGCCAACUCUAACCCAGCAACUACAUCUGACCAGGCUUUGCUGUUGAGGUGGGGAAAGCUCAGAAACACGUUCUGCCAUUGCUCUUCUUCCUCCCUUCCCUCUUCUGAGUCCCUCUCCAGGUCCCAUCCACCCACUUGCCACCAGCAUCCCUAGAGGCCAUGCUGAGCAUCACUCCAUGGACCUGACCCCACUGCCAGCCCGUGCUGCCAUUCAGACUGCUGAAGUCAAAUUAGGAUUCAGCGUUGACAGGGGUUGUUCCGAAUGUAACAGGAUCCCGUGGCAGAUGUAAAUCAGACUGCAGGCAUUUUCCUCGUGUUUCAUGAAGGAGACAGGCUUUCAAUGAACUUCACGGAAGGUGCUUGAGGCCAGAGCAGCCCCACAGGCUGCCAAAUGACAGGUGCUACUGGGGGUGACUGGGUGAGCCCUGUUUUUUAAAACAUAAAGAUGUUUCUUUAUAUUUGGGUAGGGACGGGCUGCGGUCACCCGAAGAAGCAGCAGGCAACCUCCGUGCGUUGGGAUAGCACAGCUCAGAUGGGUGAAAACAAAUGCAGCGUGGGGAGCCUCGAGCAGGGAGCAGAGCUGGUGGGUGUCCUCGCGGAGCCGUGAGCGUUGGGGAGCAAAAGACAACAUGAGAGCAGCCGCGAGGCUCGCAGCGCUGCCUGCCCGCUGUAAGGCCCGGCACGGACACUGCGUGGCACUCUUCUCCGCAGCACCGCGCCCGGAGCCCACGGGCUUCCUCGUCCCCGCCGGCUCCACGGCCGCCCCGGGGCUCCCCGGCCCCGCUCGCCCUCUCGGGUCCGGCUUCGGCCCCCGCUGCCGCUUCUCCUUCCAGGCUCUGAGCGGAGCAUCGCGCUCCGACCCGCAGCCGGCCGAGCAGCGCCGGGUUCACCAUCAUCAUCAUCAGAAGACGCGUGUCGGGAUGCGCCAUCCCCCAAAGCAGGUUUCCGUUCAGGCCUUGGUUGCGUUACCUUGGAGGAAUGUUCUCAUGGUGUGA